GAUGAACGUGGGCGGCGUGCCUAACACAUGCAAGUCGAACGCUGGUAGCAAUAUCAGAGUGGCGCACGGGUGAGUAACACGUAGCUUACCUACCUCAAAGCGCGGGAUAACGUUCCGAAAGGAAUGCUAAUACCGCAUAAGCUCCCGGUCUGUAGAGGGCUGAGAGAAAAGGGGCAACUCACUUUGAGAUGGGGCUGCGGCCCAUCAGCUGGUUGGUGAGGUAACGGCUUACCAAGGCAACGACGGGUA
rnacentral:rRNA from 1 species